CCUACGGGUGGCAGCAGUGGGGAAUAUUGGACAAUGGGCGAAAGCCUGAUCCAGCCAUGCCGCGUGUGUGAAGAAGGCCUUCGGGUUGUAAAGCACUUUCAGUGGGGAAGAAAGCCUUGGGGCUAAUACCCUCGAGGAAGGACAUCACCCACAGAAGAAGCACCGGCUAACUCCGUGCCAGCAGCCGCGGUAAUACGGAGGGUGCGAGCGUUAAUCGGAAUUACUGGGCGUAAAGCGCGCGUAGGCGGUCUGAUAAGCCGGUUGUGAAAGCCCCGGGCUCAACCUGGGAACGGCAUCCGGAACUGUCAGGCUAGAGGGCAGGAGAGGAAGGUAGAAUUCCCGGUGUAGCGGUGAAAUGCGUAGAGAUCGGGAGGAAUACCAGUGGCGAAGGCAGCCUUCUGGACUGACACUGACGCUGAGGUGCGAAAGCGUGGGUAGCAAACAGGAUUAGAUACCCCAGUAGUC
rnacentral:rRNA from 1 species